GACGAACGCUGGCGGCGUGCCUAAUACAUGCAAGUAGAACGCACAGUUUAUACCGUAGCUUGCUACACCAUAAACUGUGAGUUGCGAACGGGUGAGUAACGCGUAGGUAACCUGCCUGGUAGCGGGGGAUAACUAUUGGAAACGAUAGCUAAUACCGCAUAAUAUUGAUUAUUGCAUGAUAAUUGAUUGAAAGAUGCUAUUGCAUCACUACCAGAUGGACCUGCGUUGUAUUAGCUAGUAGGUGAGGUAACGGCUCACCUAGGCGACGAUACAUAGCCGACCUGAGAGGGUGAUCGGCCACACUGGGACUGAGACACGGCCCAGACUCCUACGGGAGGCAGCAGUAGGGAAUCUUCGGCAAUGGACGAAAGUCUGACCGAGCAACGCCGCGUGAGUGAAGAAGGUUUUCGGAUCGUAAAGCUCUGUUGUAAGAGAAGAACGGGUGUGAGAGUGGAAAGUUCACACUGUGACGGUAUCUUACCAGAAAGGGACGGCU
rnacentral:rRNA from 1 species